rnacentral:rRNA from 1 species
GUGGCCAUGGCGACCGCUAUACAUGCAGUCGAGCGAACGGACGAGAAGCUUGCUUCUCUGAUGUUAGCGGCGGACGGGUGAGUAACACGUGGAUAACCUACCUAUAAGACUGGGAUAACUUCGGGAAACCGGAGCUAAUACCGGAUAAUAUUUUGAACCGCAUGGUUCAAAAGUGAAAGACGGUCUUGCUGUCACUUAUAGAUGGAUCCGCGCUGCAUUAGCUAGUUGGUAAGGUAACGGCUUACCAAGGCAACGAUGCAUAGCCGACCUGAGAGGGUGAUCGGCCACACUGGAACUGAGACACGGUCCAGACUCCUACGGGAGGCAGCAGUAGGGAAUCUUCCGCAAUGGGCGAAAGCCUGACGGAGCAACGCCGCGUGAGUGAUGAAGGUCUUCGGAUCGUAAAACUCUGUUAUUAGGGAAGAACAUAUGUGUAAGUAACUGUGCACAUCUUGACGGUACCUAAUCAGAAAGCCACGGCUAACUACGUGCCAGCAGCCGCGGUAAUACGUAGGUGGCAAGCGUUAUCCGGAAUUAUUGGGCGUAAAGCGCGCGUAGGCGGUUUUUUAAGUCUGAUGUGAAAGCCCACGGCUCAACCGUGGAGGGUCAUUGGAAACUGGAAAACUUGAGUGCAGAAGAGGAAAGUGGAAUUCCAUGUGUAGCGGUGAAAUGCGCAGAGAUAUGGAGGAACACCAGUGGCGAACGCGACUUUCUGGUCUGUAACUGACGCUGAUGUGCGAAAGCGUGGGCAUCAAACCCGUAUUAGAUACCCUGGUAGCCCACGCCGUAAACGAUGAGCGCUAAGUGUUAAGGGGCUUUCUG